rnacentral:tRNA from 1 species
UGUCCUGUGGUGUAAUGGUAGCACAUCAGAUUCUGGUUCUGCCUGUAUGGGUUCGAGUCCUAUCAGGACAAC